rnacentral:tRNA from 1 species
GCUGGGGUACCAAAGCGGUCAAAUGGGCCUCGCUGUAGACGAGGUGGCUUUACGCCUUCGGGGGUUCGAAUCCCUCCCCCAGCA